rnacentral:rRNA from 1 species
GAUGAACGCUGGCGGCGUGCCUAAUACAUGCAAGUCGAGCGAACGGACGAGAAGCUUGCUUCCCUGAUGUUAGCGGCGGACGGGUGAGUAACACGUGGAUAACCUACCUAUAAGACUGGGAUAACUUCGGGAAACCGGAGCUAAUACCGGAUGAUAUUUUGAACCGCAUGGUUCAAAAGUGAAAGACGGUCUUGCUGUCACUUAUAGAUGGAUCCGCGCUGCAUUAGCUAGUUGGUAAGGUAACGGCUUACCAAGGCAACGAUGCAUAGCCGACCUGAGAGGGGGGUGGCCAACCGGGGAACUGACCAGCCGCCCAGAGACCGACGGGAGGCCGAGGGAGGGAAUCUUCACAACAGGGGGAAAGCCUGAAGAAGCAACGCCGGGGGAGUGAAGAAGGGCUUCGGAUCGUAAAACUUUUUUAUGAGGGAAAACAAAAUGUGUAAGUAACGGUGCCAGUCUGGCGGGAACCUAAAAAGAAACCCCGGGCAAACUCGGG